rnacentral:rRNA from 1 species
UAGCCGGUACUCGCCGAAUNCAUCUAGUAUUAGAGUUUGAUCAUGGCUCANCGACGAACGUCUGGCGGCGUGCCUAAUACAUGCAAGUCGAGCGAACAGAGAAGGAGCUUGCUCCUUCGACGUUAGCGGCGGACGGGUGAGUAACACGUGGGCAACCUACCUUAUAGUUUGGGAUAACUCCGGGAAACCGGGGCUAAUACCGAAUAAUCUAUUUUACUUCAUGGUGAAAUACUGAAAGACGGUUUCGGCUGUCGCUAUAAGAUGGGCCCGCGGCGCAUUAGCUAGUUGGUGAGGUAACGGCUCACCAAGGCGACGAUGCGUAGCCGACCUGAGAGGGUGAUCGGCCACACUGGGACUGAGGACACGGCCCAAGACUCCUUAACCGGGGGGAGUGCAGCAGUAGUGGAAUCUUCCACAUUGNGGCGAAGCCUGAUGGAG